UACGAAGGGGGCUAGCGUUGCUCGGAAUGACUGGGCGUAAAGGGCGCGUAGGCGGGCUGUACAGUCAGAUGUGAAAUUCCCGGGCUCAACCUGGGGGCUGCAUUUGAUACGUAGGGCCUUGAGUGGGGAAGAGGGUCGUGGAAUUCCCAGUGUAGAGGUGAAAUUCGUAGAUAUUGGGAAGAACACCGGUGGCGAAGGCGGCCAACUGGACCACAACUGACGCUGAGGCGCGAAAGCGUGGGGAGCAAACAGG
rnacentral:rRNA from 1 species